rnacentral:rRNA from 1 species
AAUCAACGCUGGCGGCGCGCUUAACACAUGCAAGUCGCACGAGAAAGGGAGCAAUCCUGAGUAAAGUGGCGUACGGGUGAGUAACACGUGGAUUAUCUACCUUUUAGUGGGGAAUACCUCCGGGAAACUGGAGACAAUACCGCAUAAGCUCGAGAGAGGAAAGCCGAAAGGCGCUGAAAGAGGAGUCCGCGGCUGAUUAUGCUAGUUGGCGGGGUAAUGGCCCACCAAGGCGAAGAUCGGUAGCCGGCCUGAGAGGGCUCACGGCCACAC